rnacentral:rRNA from 1 species
AGUGAACGCUGGCGGUAGGCCUAACACAUGCAAGUCGAACGGCAGCACAGUAAGAGCUUGCUCUUACGGGUGGCGAGUGGCGGACGGGUGAGGAAUACAUCGGAAUCUACUUUUUCGUGGGGGAUAACGUAGGGAAACUUACGCUAAUACCGCAUACGACCUACGGGUGAAAGCAGGGGAUCUUCGGACCUUGCGCGAUUGAAUGAGCCGAUGUCGGAUUAGCUAGUUGGCGGGGUAAAGGCCCACCAAGGCGACGAUCCGUAGCUGGUCUGAGAGGAUGAUCGGCCACACUGGAACUGAGACACGGUCCAGCCUCCGCCGGGAGGCAGCAGUGGGGAAUUUUGGACAAGGGGCGCAAGCCUGACCCAGCCAUACCGCGGGGGUAAAGAAGGCUUUCGGGUUGUAAACCCCUUUUGUUGGGAAAAAAAAGCAGCAGGUUAAUCCCCCGUUUUUCUGACGGUACCCAAAAAAUAAGCCCCGGCUAAUUUCGUG